rnacentral:lncRNA from 1 species
AUAUCUCCCAGAUUCCUAUCCCAGAAAAGCAGAUGUUCAUAGCUCUGGGAGUGGAAUGCGACCCUUGUGGAGAGCCUAUAAACGGACGCAUGAAGGGCACCUGUUCAUAUGGAUAAGAUGAAAAUUCCCGAGAAAGCAGAAGAGGCCCCCAGAUGGGCGGAUUCCCAAUCCCGGACCCCUGCGGCAGGUCGAGGCAUUGAAGAAAUAAAUUAAAGGAGAG